rnacentral:rRNA from 1 species
AUUGAACGCUGGCGGCAGGCCUAACACAUGCAAGUCGAGCGAGCGGCGGACGGGUGCGUAAUGUCUGGGAAACUGCCUGAUGGAGGGGGCUAACUACUGGAAACGGUAGCUAAUACCCCAUACCAUCCUAUGUGCCCAAAUGGGUGUGGCUGGUAGGUGGGGUAACGGCUCACCUAGGCGACGAUCCCUAGCUCGUCUGAGAGGAUGACCAGCACAACGGGAACGGCGAAAGGGCCCAUACUCCUACGUGAGGCAGCAGGGGGGAAUAUUGUACAAUGGGCGUAAGCCUGAAGAAGCCCUGCCGCGUGUGUGAAGAAGUCCUUCGGGUUGUAAAGCACUUUCAUCGGGGAGGCGUUACCCGCAGAAGAAGCACCGGCUAACUCCGUGCCAGCAGCCGCGGUAAUAC